rnacentral:rRNA from 1 species
GAGGAAAAGAAACUGACUUGGAYUCCCCUAGUARWUGCGAGUGAACCGGGAUGAGCUCAAAUUUAAAAUCUGGCGGUUCUGCCGUCCGAGUUGUAAUCUGGAGAAGCGUUUUCCGCGUCGGACCGUGUACAAGUCUCUUGGAAUAGUGCGUCAUAGAGGGUGAGAAUCCCGUCCAUGACACGGACUCCCGAUGCUAUGUGAUACGCUCUCAAAGAGUCGAGUUGUUUGGGAAUGCAGCUCAAAAUGGGUGGUAAAUUCCAUCUAAAGCUAAAUAUUGGCGAGAGACCGAUAGCGAACAAGUACCGUGAGGGAAAGAUGAAAAGCAGUUUGGAAAGAGAGUUAAACAGUACGUGAAAUUGUUGAAAGGGAAACGCUUGAAGUCAGUCGCGUCGUACGGAGCUCAGCCUUGCUUCUGCUUGGUGUAUUCUCUGUGUCGAUGGGUCAACGUCAAUUUCGGCUGGUGGAGAAGGGCUCAAGGAAUGUGGCGUCGUUUCGGCGACGUGUUAUAGCCUUGGGUCGUAUGCACCGACUGGGAUUGAGGACCGCAGCACGCCCUUGUGGCCGGGGGUUCGCCCUACGYUWCGUGCCUWGGAUGUGRGSUDGGUGGCUU